rnacentral:rRNA from 1 species
ACGUAGGGGGCAAGCGUUGAUCGGAAUCACUGGGCUUAAAGGGUGCGCAGGCUGGCCCGAAAGCGUCUUGUGAAAGCCCCCGGCUCAACCGGGGAACAGCGGGGCGAACUUCGGGUCUUGAGGCAGGUAGGGGCGGAUGGAACUGUCGGUGGAGUGGUGAAAUGCGUAGAGAUCCGGAGGAACACCAGAGGCGAAGGCGAUUCGCUGGGCCUACUCUGACGCUCAGACGCGACAGCACGGGGAGCGAGCGG